CCUGGGCUUCCUUACGGUGGGACUGGGUAUAGCUGGUGAACCAGCAGUCCCGUUGGUUAUGGUGAAUGCUUUACCAGAGAGGCAGGAAAAGAUUUGGAAGGUUUGUGAUGUAAACCAUGCACCUGCUCCUGCUGUCCCAGAUGGUGUGGGCAGGAAGUGGUAACUACAGCAGGCUCCUGUGGCCUGCUCCAUCCUGGAGGCCUGGCAGGGACAGGCCCACUACUGGCUAUGCUUUCUCAGGAUUAGUUCGGCUGGGGCCUGCCGGGUGAGCAGAGAGCGGCUGCCCUGCCGCUACCCCUUGCUGAUGUUUCUGGCGGCACUAAGCCAAAGAGACCGUUGGCUGGAAUGGGAUGGGGAGAGUCCCUUAUUGUUCAGGCUGGCAUGGGUGUGCUCUGUAACCUGCCUGAUGUUUGUGUGGGUGUUGCUCCUGAACAGGACCUAUCUGCUGGGGAGAGGUAGCUGCGGCGGGGGACCCAGAGCCCUCAGGGGUAGCAUGGGUCUCCCUGUUUACACUUAGCUGAUAGUCAUGCACGGGUCCUGUGUGCCUCUGCCCAGCCCACCUGAUGUUUACGUGUGUGUGUGUGUGUGUGUGUGUGUGUGUGUGUGUGUGUGUAGCCUGCUAUCUGUCUGGAGGAGGUGCCAGCCCAGCCCGUUGGCUGCUGCCUUGCAUGUCCCACACAUUGCCCACAGCCUGCUCUCCAUAAGUAAACGGCUGUCCUGCAGAGUCCAUGCCUCCCACCCCUGGUCAUCACUGUGUAAUUUUUUUUUUAAAUGCACAAAAUGGUGUCCUCUACACACUUAGUUCCUCUGUCACUUUAGCCUUCACCCUGGCAUUGGUACUGUGCCUGCCUGGCUCCUGAAGGCCUCUGUACAUUGUUCUCAGGCGGUCUUGUGGAUGUCUUUUCGAAAACGGUUAUUUUAUAUGAUUUGUCAUGGGAUUUGUUCUAAUAAAUCAUUCCUCCACGUGGCAGCACA
rnacentral:lncRNA from 1 species